UUUCCGUAGGUGAACCUGCGGAAGGAUCAUUAUUGAAACUUCAUCCGGGGCGCCGCGGCCCUCAGCACCGGUGGACACGCCGUGCUGCGGGGGCCGCGCGUGCACUCGUCCAAACCAAACCCCUGUGAACCUUACGGGAUGGCCCGGGUUAGCGCCCGGUGCCGUUCCGCUUUAUACAAACACUUAUCAAAGAAUGAACUGAAGGCGGUCUGACCGCUGGAUAACAAACUGAAACAACUUUCAACAACGGAUCUCUUGGCUCUC
rnacentral:misc_RNA from 1 species